rnacentral:rRNA from 1 species
CCUACGGGAGGCAGCAGUGAGGAAUAUUGCACAAUGGGCGAAAGCCUGAUGCAGCGACGCCGCGUGGGUGAAGAAGGUUUUCGGAUCGUAAAACCCUUUUCUGUGUGACGAGAACGGACGGUAGCACAGGAAUAAGUCUCGGCUAACUACGUGCCAGCAGCCGCGGUAAU